UCGUUGUAGCAAUACAGUGGAAAGUUCAGUGGCGAACGGGUGCGUAACACGUGGGCAAUUUGCUUUAAAGUGUGGGAUAGCUCGGCGAAAGCCGGAUUAAUACCGCAUGUGGCUACUGGAGACAUCUUCGGGACGCUAAAGGUGGCGCAAGCUACCGCUUUUUGAGAAGCCCGCGGCCUAUCAGCUUGUUGGUGAGGUAACGGCUCACCAAGGCGUUGACGGGUAGCUGGUCUGAGAGGACGACCAGCCACACUGGGACUGAGACACGGCCCAGACACCUACGGGUGGCAGCAGUCGAGAAUUUUUGACAAUGGGGGAAACCCUGAUCGAGCGACGCCGCGUGGAGGAUGAAGGUCUUCGGGUUGUAAACUCCUGUCAUUUGGGAACAAGGCGCAUGUAUUAACUGUACAUGCGUUGAUAGUACCAGAAGAGGAAGAGACGGCUAACUCUGUGCCAGCAGCCGCGGUAAUACAGAGGUCUCAAGCGUUGUUCGGAUUCAUUGGGCGUAAAGGGUGUGUAGGUGGCGCGCUAAGUCGGGUGUGAAAUUUCGGAGCUUAACUCCGAAACUGCAUUCGAUACUGGCGUGCUUGAGGACUGGAGAGGAGACUGGAAUUCACGGUGUAGCA
rnacentral:rRNA from 1 species